UGCAUGAUCCAACAGCGGUAAGCAACUUUUUGAUUGAGGAGAAGAAAGAAUUAUACUAAAAACUCUGUCAGGACCCUUAUGGCUAUAAUUCAGAACAUGGCAAUGAAAUCUUAUUAGUGCAUAAACUGUCACACAGAUAUGUACAUUCUAUAUGUUGGCAUUUUCGAGUGUUUCCCUUAUAAACACUUACUGAAUGUGUGUGUGUUUGUACAGUUUGUUGGGGUUUAUCCACUUGUAAGGGCAUUCAUGGAAAGAAGUCCUUGAUGCGGUGGUCAGCUUCUGAUUUCCUAGCAUGUGUGGUUUAUGGGAAUUAUGGCUAUGAUGAGAAAUUCUCAUCACGGAUAUGGAGCCAGCCCAGAGGAGCUGUGUCUUUAGGGGACUGGGUGGCAUCACGAGACAGUAGCUAGAAGCAAACAGAGUGGGAUGUGUUCUCCCUCUCGGUUCCAGACAAGUGUAGUUGACAGGCUAGGUGUUCUCUUUCCCAGGGAUGAACAGAGUGACCCCUGUCCUGAGUCCCCUUCUCCUACCUGAGAAGCGUGCUUUGAUUUGGAAGCUGGUCCUGAGUAUGGUCUUGUGGUUUCCUCAUCACCAGGAUGCCCUCACUCACUCUGAGUGCUGUCAGGAGGCAGAUCGCACCGCACACUCGUGUCUCUGUAUACAUGCUGUAAUCCAUGCACCCAAAAUAAUCUCUGUGAUGCUCUUGUUGUCUUUUCUGUCAGCUCUCAACAGAAGGAAUGCUUUUGAGAGCAAGGGCUUUUCCAGAUCCUUCUCCUCAGUUCCUUUUAGUCAUAAGACAAAGUGCCUGAGUCCUGGCCCCUUCUUCACUGUGGCGGACAGUGAACCUGCCUCCUUGUUCGGUUAUCUUCCUAGCUUCCCACUGAACUUUGACCUCGCCAUGAUUUGUACGGCCCCACCCCCAAGAUGGGAAACAGCCAACCUUACAUCUUAGAAACUCUAAAUGUCCAUGCUGCAAACCACCCCCUGAGGACAGUUUCCAGCAGCCCGAGACUCCUCCUUUACAGCACCUGCAGCUGUCUUGCUGCAAGAGUUUCUAUCCAGCGUUCAACAGCAAAUGUUUAUUCAAAGACGAAACCCACCCACGCCUCCCUAAACACUAGGUGGGUGUCUUUGUUCUUUUAGCACUGCCCAGGUGAAUAGCAUGCAGAAUGGAGAAGAGUUUGGCACUAAGUUUGGCACUGGUCCGAUGAGAUGGAUAAUUAUAGGAACCGAGCCCAGCUAAUGGAAGCAUUAUUUUAAAGCUGGGAUGAUUUCCAAAACAAACCCUCUGCUAAUGAAAACAAGCCAACGUUCCCCUUGAUCCUUGACCAAGAGAAAGUAGAGGAACUGUCAAUAUUCUGACCCCUUGACCUUUAACUCUGACUUAAGCUAUGUGGACCUCCACUGUAGCCAUGCUCUCUUAACAGGGGAGUGUGUUUCAGGUCCCCUUGAUAAUGUAUGUGCCUCACUGUGUCCCUUACACGGUGCUCUCAGACUUCACAUUCGAUCAUCGUGACAAGCCUGUGGACUGGGUAACACAAAGCUCUGAGUGAGAGGAGUCCUGUGUAGGAAGCACUGCUUCUACACGCACACGCAAGGGAGAACUGGAGUGGGGGAGGGAAGGAUACAGAGUCAAGAGAAAACAGUAUAUUACCGCCAGCUGUAGCAGAGAGCAUGUUUCCCUAUAACUAACAAGCCCACAACUUCAUAACUGAAGCGUUUGAUUGAUGAUGAUAUUGUCUACAGGGCUGCCCCAGGUAGAGCAAUGGAACACUGAAGUGGUGUGCACACUUUCUCCACAUCUCAGGAAGUGAUGUGGUGUAUGUCUCCAUUGUUGUGUGUCUGUUGUUGUGUCUCCAUGCAUCAUUCAAGACACUCUUGUCACUUGUUUCUUUUUUUAAACCUAAUAAGUUUGUCCAGGUAUUCUUCAGGAGUAGGAAUGUUCUUUGAUUCUACCCUUCAAGAUACACUGCUAUCUAUUGACAGCCUCUGCUUUGAAAUAUGUGAUACACUAAUGGCAGCUGGAAAGAUGGUUGAUUGACAGGUGCGAGCAGGCAAAGUUUGAAUGUCCGCUGGGGACUCGGAGUGCUGCGAAUACUGAUUUCACUAUAAAAUUCAGCUUUGCUACAUCAUUGGUUUUCUUUUAAUAGUAAAGUACUUGGAAAUAAUGGAAUAACAAUCUCUUGACUGUCAAAAACACAGUGUCUGUGGGUUCCUUCAGGGCACAGUCACCCUUGCUGGUCCUCUUCCCUCUCAUUCAGCACAUCCAUGUUGAGGGUGAACCUUCUUUCCAGAUCCAUUCAGACUACCCAAUGAAAACAGGCAUGUGCGUGCUCACACACGUGCUCACACAGACACACACACACACACACACACACACUCUACUCUCAGGCCCCUAAAUCUUCUUUGAUCCAGUCUAGAUGACAGUUAAAGUCACCACUGUAUUGUUUCUUCCUCAAGCUGCUUUUGAACGGCUAACAGAGAGCAUCCAGAAACACACUUCGGUGGCUUUCUCCUGCAGGGGCAGCUAGGGCUCUGAGGCAAACCUAAAUGUGUUUACUGUCUACUAACAACUGCUUCUGUAAUAUCUAAUGAGUAGAGGUGACCUUUUGUAUCUGUCUUGAAAAUGUGGACUGCCUUUGGCCGUCAUCAAAUCCAAGGUGAAAAGAGAAACUGUACGUUUAACCUCUAGGUUCUCCAGGCACCAAUCUCUCCCUCAGUAUUAUUGGUUCAGUUCUAUUGGGUUUUUGGUUGGUUGGUUUUGCUUUGUUUUGGUUUUUUGCAUACAAAGUAGAGAGUUUCAUUGUGACAUUUCUUUUUCUUUUUUUUUUCUUCUUCUUCUUUUUAUCGGAGCUGGGGACUGAACCCAGGGCCUUGUGCUUGUUAGGCAAGUGCUCUACUACUGAGCUAAAUCCCCAACCCCUCAUUGUGACAUUUCUAUGCAUUAGGAGUCACUGAACUUUGUCCUUAUUUGUCCUCUCCCUACCCCAGCCCUCUUGGUUCCCUUUCUUCCCACAAGUUGUUCCCCCACUUUCUCUUCAUAUAUAUUCCAUUCUCUUUCCUUGACACCCCCUCUUUAGACUGUCUCCUAAUCUGCUCAUCUUUUUAGGGUAUGAGUAUGUGUGCUUGUGUCUGUCUAUGUGUGUGUGUCUCUGUGUGUGUCUAUGUGUGUCUCUGUGUCUCUGUGUGUCUCUAUAUGUGUUUGUGUGAUGUCUGUGAGUGUGAAUGUUUAUGUGUGUCUGUGUGAGUUUGUGUAGUGUUUAUAUGUGUUUGUGUAAAUGUGUGUAUAUGCUUUUGUGUGAAUAAGUGAGUGUGUAUAUAUGUAAAUGUGUGUGUGUGAAUGUGUGUGUGAAUGUGUGUGUGAGUAUGUGAAUGUGUGUGUGAGUGUGUGUGAGUGUGUGUGUGUGAAUGUGUGUGUGAAUGUGUGUGUGAGUGUGUGUGAGUGUGUGUAUGAAUGUGUGUGUAUAUGUGUGUGUAUGUGUGUGUGAAUGUGUGUAUGUGUGUGUAUGUGUGUGUGUGAGUGUGUGAAUGUGUGUGUGUAUGAAUGUGUGUGUGAGUGUGUGUGUGUGUGAGUGUGUGAAUGUGUGGGUGUGAGUAUGUGUAUGUGUGUUGUGCUUCUAUAUAAUAUAUUGAAGUGCUCGUGAGCAAUUCUCCCCUUAGGUGGCUCAGAAGUAAGGCACAAAAUAUUAAAUGGUUUUUGAUUGUUCGUUUCCGAUGUCUGUGGAGGUGAAGUAAUCAGGUGCCUUACUUACCCAGAAAAAGGCUGCAUCUUGUGUGUUUGCUGUGAGCAGCCCCUGCCAACCGCAGCAGGCUCUGAGGUCACUGUGAGAUCUGUACUAUUAGCAUGGCUCAUGACCGUGACCCAGCCCUCCUGCUCCCUUUAUGAGUGUCCCAGGACUGGAACACGUGUCUUCAGGCUUGCACACCUCCUCUGCCUCCUAAGCCACCUCCCCACCCGAGUGGGCCAUAAUCCUCCAUCUGAGCAGUGGUGGUUACCGUCCUUCCUUGUCAGUGUGAGCUUCUCAGAAGCUCUCCUUCUGUGCUGUUUCUGACCUUAACACGGGACAUGCUGCUGGGAAGUCUAAGACUGAGAUGCCUUACUUGGGGUUUAGAAUUUUGGGCAAGAUGAUCAGACUUUCUUAGAAUAAUCUACAAGUAUUGCAUACGUUUAAAAUUAUAAUCUAGCCACGGUGUCACUGAUACGUUUACUGUUUAUAACAACGAUAAAAGGACCUUUGGAGUUUAAAAAGGAAAGAGAAAUAUCAAUUCUCAGUCAGCCAUUGUAUUAGGACACACACACAAACCCACACAGUGUACACAUACACACGUUUCAGUUCUUGGAUCACGCCCUGUUGUUACUGAGGGAAGUCAGGUCCAGAACCUGGAGCAGGGACUGAGACACACACCGAGUGCUUGUCCAGAAGCCGGAUGAGUACAUUUCAUGUUCCUCACAUGUGUGUGUUUGGGGCUGGCUACUUGGUAUUGGACCAGUUUGGGGUGGGGGGUCCAUCCCUGAGAAAAGCUGAUUCUCCCUCUUGCUCAGUGGUCAUCAACUGCCCUGUGAGAUUCUUCUCCCUCUGUGGGGACACGUCACCAGGUGUCAUCGUCCAGGUUUUGUUCAGACAGAAGUAAUGUUGAGAUCUCAUGGGUGUGGCUUCCCUGUCAUGUAGAACACAGACAAGCUGGUGUCCUGGCUCUGGACUCUUUCUGCUCCAUCUUCUACGACGUCCCCUGAGCCUUAGGUAGAGGGUAGAUGCUUCAGCUGGAGCCUGGCACCCAGGACUACUUCUCUGAUUUACGUUCAACUGUGGGUUUCUAUGAUGAUCUUCAUCUGCUACAACAGAAAGCAGCUUUUUGACAAGGGACGAGGGCUCCUCUUGUCUGUGGGAUGAGGAUAAGGGCUCAGGUACAGUUCACACUGCUUCAGGAAGUGGCUGUGGUGAGUUCCCCUCCCCCCCGGGUGGCCUGGCCUUGCCAGCCUUGGCUACUUAGAUGUGAAUCUGCUGCUGAGUGGGCUGUAAGUCCAGCUAAACGGCUGCUGGCUCCCGACAUAGAAGCCUCUGCUGCUUGUCCCCCUGGCAGCUUGCGUAGCCGCUGAUGGUCCCCAGGAAAGAGGCUUCUGGGUCAGACCCAGUUCAGUUCCUUCAAGUCCCACAUGCAGAGUGAAGGUGUCGUCAGCCAUAGAGACUCCUUACCUUCAGCCUCUGGGAGACAGCGGGGGCAGCAGCCUGUAUCAUUUUGAGGGUGUCUUGAGACUUCUCAUGCCUGGUCUUGUGGGGUUUGUUGUUGGUUUGGUUUGGUUUUCUGUAUGUUUCUUAUGUAGUCUGUCAUUCUUGAGGAAGUACUAUGAUCCUAGGUGGCAUAAUUUCCUGUAAGCGCAUGUGUGUGUUAUAUUUAGUUUGGUGAAAACAUAUAAUGAUUUCAUACCCAUUUCCAACAUCCCCAGUAUUUAUUCCCCCGACCUCUGCCCUCCUCCGAGUUAAAGCUCCCUUCCCCCUUCUCCAUUUCCCCUUCAUAGCACCUGCAUACUGCCCUUUUCUAGAGCCCUGCCCCCACCCAUGCCCCCUUCUCCUUCCGUAGUCUCUGUCGUUCCUGCAGAUUACAUGCUCACAUUGGAAGUUUUGGAGCCACAAGGGGAGGAGCCUGUCUUGCUGGGUCGGUGUCACCUCACUCAGUGUGACUAGUUCUGGCCCUGUCUGUUAAUCUGUAAAUCUCCUGGUUUCAUUUCUCAUCACAGCUGAGUGGUAUUCCACGGUGUGUAUGUAACACAAUGGUUUCAUUAUCCCUCCAUCAGUGGAGGACAUUCAGGUAGUGUGCACCUCCUGGCUAUUGUGAGUAUCACAGCCAUGAACAAGCCUGUGCGAGUAUCUCCAACGUAGGAUGUCCCUUGAUACAGCUGGGUCAUAUGGUUGAUCUAUUUUUAGCUCUUCGAAAGCUCCCCGGACUGAUUUCCAGAGUUGGUACCAGUUUGCGAUCCCACAGCCGUGAACGGUGGCUACCCAUUCCCCACAGCCCCCCACAGCAUUUCCCGUCAGUGGGGCCCGAUCUUAUUGGCAUGUCGGGGGAAAUGGAAGUAAUUCAUAGUGUCUCUGUUUUAUAAGUGAAUGGAAGCUGAAUGUCCCCCAUGACUUUAGAGAUGUAUUCCAGAAAUACUUGUUCUCAGUGACACACUCUCCUCUCAAGACAGUUCUUAAACAAGUUCCCGUUCUCCAGUCUCUGGGAUUUUGAUCCUAGGCAGACCCUUCCUUCAGAAGUCUGCCUCUGUAUCUCUACACUCACAGAAACACUUCUGCUGAUCAACCUUCACACUCUCUACCAGAGGAGGCAGAGGGAAGAAACAGGACCACUCUCUUAAAUUCCUAUAAACAUACAGCAUGUUAGUUACCUUUAGUCUCAAUCCCAGUACUGCGCCCAGCCAGUAUGUUAAUCUGCACAAGGAACGAGAAAGUGUGGAUUAAUAAAUGACAUAGGCUGAGAACCCAGGAAGGGAAUUAAAUAAGAACAAGUGUCUAAAGUUGUUGUUGUCUCUAAGAAUGUCUGGUAUGCAAAUGACCCCAAACCCACAGCAGGGAAUGAUUCUGUCCUCUGUCCAGACCUAGGGCAGGUGUGGAUCCACUCGCUCCUUAUAUUCACGCAGAUGCAUUUAAAAGGCAUCCACUGCGUGCUAGAGUCCCCACAUUUGGAGAGACUGCAACCUUCGGGGAUAUAAGCACAACACAAAUAAUCAGGCAAACAAAGCCAUCAUUUUAAAAACAUGUUAAGUGAAAUGAACAGAAGGUGUGGAGGUAAAAUUGAAGAGAUUUCUGAUUGCGGAGGGAGGUUACUGCUUUCUAUAGUAGUUGUGCAGAGACCGCUGCAGCCCUUAUGAUGCCCUUCCUCAGCUCUCACAGCCACCAGAGCCCUGUAGUGUUGGAAGGUGGAUAUUCCUCAUCUCUCUCCUCUUGGGCUUCUGGAAGCAUUUGCUCCCCCUGGUGUCCUGCACCUUGACCUGUGUUAGGUUCCUACUUAGAAUUCGUGGAUAAGCCAUGCUCCAGAGCUCUUCUGCCUGCCUGCAUUUCAGUGUCUGUGAGCUCCUACAGACAAGGUUUUCUACUGCCCUGGGUCCAGCGUUAGCGAGUCUCUGGGGUCCUCUGCAUCUAGUUAGGAAAGCUGUGUACUGUUUCCCAGUCCUGCAACCAUAAAUUCUCACCUGCUGAAGAUUGAUCUCUCCCUGCUUUCCUGCUGCUUAGAUAUAAGGUCAAAGUCACCUUCCUUCCCCACAGCAGACGGAGCAGACCCUAUUCUUGAUUUCCACCAUGCUUUUACCAAACCUGGAUUUCUGCCGAGGAUAAAACACCACUGUACUUGUCACUCCUCACAAGCCCACGAACCAUUUGCCGUCUGUUGAAACCUCCAGAGACAGACGUCAGGGCAGACUUAGCCCCUUCAUCUAGCGCCUGCCGCCCUCAGUUGUACUCAUGCACACAGCAGCCUGAGUGAGUGGGCCUCAUUCGAUCUCUUCAGCCUCUGAGACUUGUUGGUGCUGUAAUACUGUCUAUCCUUGCUUGCCGGCUUGCCUGCUUGCUGGUUUUUUUCUUUUUGUAUUUUUUGGAGACAAUGCCAAUGUAUGUAUCCUGAGCUGGUUUCAAACCAGCUAUCCCUCAGCACCCAUGCUGCAGUUACCUGCAAAUGCCACCACACCUGGCCCUGUUCCUAUCCUGUCCCUCCACUUAUGAAUACUGUGUACAGUUCAAACUUUGCUUCUGCUCCACAGAGCCUACACAUGGUCCACAUGUGUGAGCGCCAUCAGUUGAAACUCUUUCCUCUCCCACUCUAACCUGUCCGACACUGUGGAGGUCCCUUCACGUGGUUCCCAGGCAGAAACUACCAAUGGGUUCCAGGCCUUACUGUUUGCUUGAUAAACAUUUGAUUGAUGAGUAAAAUCGAUUAGUCAUAACAUGUAGAACUUCUCACCAAAAGAAAUCUGCUAUACAGGGGCUGGGGAUUUAGCUCAGUGGUAGAGCACUUGUCUAGCAAGCGCAAGGCCCUGGGUUUGGUGCCCAGCUCCGGAAAAAAAAGGAAAAAAAAAAGAAAGAAAGAAAUCUGCUAUACAAAUGUAAGCCAUAACCUUAGUAGGUUAGGUUUUGGGCUUCAUUGAUUCCUGAAGCACUGAGGCUGCAUAUCUUGAGGAGUAAAAUUAAGCUGAGAACUGUAUUUUUGAUGGAAUAUAUCUGUUAAAAAUUAGUUGCUUAGAUUUAAGAUUCAAUAAAACCAGAAUAUUAGUGAAGGUUGACACUAAACACUGAAGCAAGUUCUGUAUCUCCCACACUCCACCCAGGAAGCCGGUCAUAAAAUUUCUGUUUUAUGAUUUUAAUUUUGAUUUCUUAGUGAUAUUUUUUAAAAAAGAGAUUUAACUUGAGAUAGCAGAACUUGGUUUCAUACUUUAUGUGUAAAAAUAUAUAUUUGAAUUUCAUGGAGUAAAGAUCCACGUGUUCGUUAUUCUCGGAAGAGCCUCGCCUCGCCGGUGAGUGUUACAAACCAAAGCAUCUAUUCUCGUCAUAAUUAUCACCACACGGUGUGUUCAGAAUCUGUCCUGUGCUCUAAACACCAUUAAAUUAAUAUGACCCUAGAAGUUAUGUAGAAUACACGUUCAUCACCCGGGAGGACAGUGAACUCGUGGAGAUUUGGACGCCUGCCUACAGCCACACAGAAGUAAACCCGGCGUCAGAAUUUAAAGUCAGAAAAAUGUCACCUACAAUACAAUGAGUUCUUCUGAACCUCAGUUGGUGUUUUUUCGUAAAUAGAAGGAUUACCUGCCUGCUUCUGAGCACAGCUCGAGCUUCUCUAUAGCCAAUGUCACUUGGCAGUGGGGUAGCCAUGUUCCUCCUAGCUGAGGUUUUAAACUUUAUCUUUGUGUCUUAUUUAAUGGAGAGGAAUUGAUCCAUGUAUUAAGGAAGCAAAGAAAAACACCAAUAAGAAACCUGAUGCCUAGUGGGCAUGAAACAGGCCUCCAUGCUGGGCUAACCCAGACUCAGAUGUUCUCAGGACGAGUAGUCAGAGACACUUCUAAAGGGGCAGAGGGCCUCACACUGAUGUGAGCCUGUAGCCAAUACAUUCCCUUUCCCUGGCCUUCCUGCUGCCCACCACCCCAUUCUGAUAGUUCUACAGUUGAUUGGUAAACAAUUGCCUUGGUCAAGGAGAAAGUGGGGUGGUAGGAAAUAUUACCAAAACUGGUGCUGGGAUCAAGACUCGUUCACAAUAAGCAAGCUGCUCCUGAAGUAAAGUCAAGGCACUGUGGUGCAAGUCCUCCGACUGUAAGUUAAAUAUAAAGAGUAGGUCUGCUUCCCUUUGAACUCCUUAUAAAAACGACGCAGUCGUCGAUGGAAAAACAACAGUUCAUGGAUUUGAAGGAAUCUAAGUGAAGCCUGCUGGCUGGCAGUCAGUGGGGCUUCUGCAAUAAACAAACUGGGGUAAACAGCACGUGCACAGCUCUCAGAGCUGUGGGGCUGGCGAGUCAAAGUCCAGGUGUGGAUGGGCUAGGAGGUCUUCUCCUGGCUUUCAGCUGUCACCUCUCCGCUGUGUCCUUACAAAUGGAGACAGCAUGGGACCUCCUGUGUUGAGUAAGUGAGGCUCUGCCCUCACAGCCUUAUCUAACAUAUACUCUUACCCACAGGUGCUCUUUCCCUAGCCAUUGCUUGGAGAUUAGGCUUUCCGCAAACAUAUUUGUUACGGAGUGGAGAAAGGAUACCAACGUUCAGUCCUUCUACAUUAAACAAGGGUGGACGGAUAAUCCUAAUGGCAGACAACUGUCAUUGUUCGAUUGAGAAAUGGCCUUUUGGGUUACCUGUUUCUACCUCACAGUUUGCUAGAGAGAAACUCACAGAGCCUAGGAAUAGGAGGAGAUGUGUGUGCAGCUGAGCUGGGGCCACAAAAACAAGGUCUCUGCAUCCCUCAUGCAGAAAGGAUUUGGUGCUUCCUAGUGUAUAUUUUACCAAGGUAAAGGUCUGUCUAGCCUGACAAAGAAUGAUAAUUUUCCUCUUAGAAAUUCUCCACUAUCCAACACCUGCCACACAGAGCCCUGACGUGUCAGGCAAAGGUGAUGAACAGUGGGUCAGAUCCAGGGACCCAGGGAAUCCCUACAUAGACGUUUCCUAGCGCCCACCUCAGUAAAGUUGUUCCCCUGGGAGUGAAGUACUCAAAUUUUGAUCAAAAUUCCUAAUCAUCUUUUAGUGGAGUUAAUUUUGGGGUGUGUGUGUGUGUGUGUGUGUGUGUGUGUGUGUGUGUGUGCGCGCGCGAUUUUACAAUAAAAUUUAAUGUAAAAACUGUAAUCUGGUCUCAGGUCCUUCUGCGCACUCUUCAGUGGUGUGGUAACAUCUUCCAGAGCUGCUGUUAGCAUGAAUGUGUGUCCCUGCUAAUGACAGUCCUGAAUGAGGUUGAAGAGCAGCAGUAGAAGUGUAAUUCCACAGAAGGGAGCAGCUGAUGGUCCGCUCUAGCUAACCUACCACGUGUCACAGAGCCACUUCCAAAUCUCCUCCGUCCUCUGUGCGGCCCAGUUCCCGAGUCUGGCCUUUCAUCUUUGCUCAGGCCCAUCUUCCUUCUGACCUGUGCUGACCCUCAGACCUCUUCGAGUUCCCCAGAUGUCACUGGCUCAAGACUGUGUUGGGACUCGAGAUGUGGUUCCUCUCUCUGCUGGUACGACAAGGAAACUGCCACUCCCUGAAGAAAUUUCCUCAGAGACAGAGGACCUCUUGGCUUUGCCCACGUGUUAUUUUCUUGGUUUCUGGCCCCUCUUUUUAGAGCCAACUGCCCUGCCGCCAGCUGCCUUCCCACUCAGAGUUCAGGGCUCUCCUCUGUCCUCCCUGACAUUUCUGACCUUUCCCACUUUGUGCUAAUGUUUGCAUUUCUUCUUGUACCAGAAGGGGGAGUAAUUUGUUUCCAUCAGUUCCUCUGAUGUCAAGCACAUGCUGUCCUCAUUGCAGUUCUUGAUGAAAAUGUGCCAGUAUGGUUAUUUAGAGAGAGGUUAUCUGCCUCCUGGUGCUGGUUUCCAAAGAAAAUUUAAACACACCACACACACACACACACACACACACACACACACACACACACAUGCAUGCAUGUACACAUGCACACACACAUGCAUGCACGCACAAACACACGCAUGAAUGCACGUGCGCACACACACACACACACACACCCCACACGGUAUGAGUCUACCUAAUUGCCUGUGUGCCCCUAUUACUUUCCACCAAGAGAAGGCCUCCUCAUCUGGGGCCCACAGCCUCAGAGGUGGUUCCUCCCCGAGAGCCUUGUCUCCAUCUCAACCAUCCACACUCAUAGCUUUGUCUUCUUUCACUCACUGCUAUAACAUUUUCGUCCCGCCCCAGUGAGCUAAGGGCGUCGUCCUAUCCGUAUCUGCUGUGGUAAAUGAUGCCUAGAGCAAUAGAGGGUCGGUGUGCUGCCCAAUUCUUUUCCUCCUUUGUCUUGCUCACCUGUGCCUGUUGGUGCUGACCCCCGGAAUCCACUUCCUAAGCUGGCUGUGAAUCAUACUCUCUGUCUCCGAGUCUGGUCUCUGACGUGGAACUAAAACUCCAUUGAGGUGAACCGAGUCCUCUGUCUGUCCCCCAAGUCUCGUUAGCCACUUGCAGUGUGCUCUUCUGUGUUUAAAACCUUUCUUUGGGUUUCUCUUCAUGCAGAAAUAUAUGCUGUGAUGGUUUGUCAUCUGUAAGAUCCUUGGUUUUCUUGAAAUUUUCUAAUAUUUUUCCUAAAAAUGUAUGUUCUACACUCUUCUGUUACCUUAGGUUUUCGAAUAGGAUCAGAGGCAAUUGCGUGUGUGUGUGUGUGUGUGUGUGUGUGUGUGUGUGUGUGUGAUGUGCACGUGUAUCUGUGUCUGUGUGUGUGUAUAUGUGUAUGUGUAUCUGUGUGUCUGUGGUGUGGUGUAUACAUGCAUGUAUAUACAUGUGUGUGUGCAUGCAUGUUUGUGUGUCUGCAAGUGUGGGGUGUGUGAUGUUUGCACAUGUAUGUGUGUGUGUGGUAUGUGCACGUGUAUUCGUGCCUGCAUGUGUGUGUGUAUCUGUGUGUGUGUGGUGUGUGGUGUGUGCACAUGUAUGUCUGUGUGUCUGUCUGUGUGUGUGUGCAUGUGUGUCCAUGUGUGCAUAUAUGUGUAUGGCAUAGAAAUGAAUCUCAAGACUUCCUUCCAUUCAGCCAUCAUUUACAGCUUCUUCUGAUUUGGCUUGACUCCCUAAAUUCUGAAUCUUUCUUUGGGUAUUUCAAGGCAGAUGUUUGCAAACAUCUUUGAAUGUCUCUGUUUUAAACAUUAUCUGCUAUUGCCUUUGCGGUUGUAUCUAAAACCACGUCGCUCUCCCUACGUCUGUCUCAUGCUGGGCAGAGUCCAUCCCCUCAGCAGGUCACUGCUCCCUGUCUUAUGGCCUUGGCCAGCACUCCAGAGUCUUCUCCUUUUCGAGGCCUCCUGGUUAGCUCCCGUCUUAGUAGAGAACGCAGACUGUAUCAUGGCUCCCCAGCCUGUGCAUCCGAGCUUCUCCCCACUCUCCUCUCUCAGAAACCCCAACCGUUCGGAGGUGCUUGUUCUCACCUAUCAUGUUGGUGAAAAUUACAAAGGAUGACAGCAUACUGCAGGCGAGACAACAUCUGUCCGCACACUGAAGGGGAUUUGGCAGCGCCUGACAAAACUACGCACCCACUCUAACUCCUACAAAUUCACCCUGAAACACACUUCCAGCAGUAUGAACUAUACAUAAGCAGUUUUCAUAAACAAAAACAUUAAGUACAACUCAGAUAACAAUGCUCAUGCAAACACCUGAGCGAGGAGAUCCCGGGCAUUUAAAACUAUAGCCUAGUGUGUUCAUGGGGGAGUAAAGAACAUGGACAGGAAUGGUAACUCACAAGCAGCAUUUAGGCAGGAGGGUUACCGUGAGUUUGAGGGCAUCCUGGGUUACAUACAUAGUCAGUCCCAGGACAACCUGGGUUACAGAGUGAGUCCCUGUUUCAAAAGAGAGAGAAAACAUAGGAUGAUCUAUGUUUACAAAAGAGAAGAACCAGAAAGUAAGGGCUGGCAAGAUGGCUUCUUCACUACAAGUUCUUGAUGCAGGAGCUUGAGGUCUGACUACAGCCCAGGCAUCCAUGUACAAAACCAGGCACAGGACAUGCAAAUGCAAUCAGCUCUGUGGAAGUGGAUGUAGGAGGUUCCUGGGGAUCCCCUGGCCACCCAAGGCCAUCCUAGCUAAAUUGGUGAGCUCAAAGUUCAAUGAAAGAUCUAACCUAAAAAAAUAAUAAUAAGGCACAGACAAUGUUUGAGAGAGACACCAAACACACACGUGCAGACCCUCAUACAAACACAUGUGCCUACACACAAGCUUCAAACAAAGUAUAUAGACACACACACACACACACACACACACACACACACACACACACUCACUCACUAAAAUAAACCAGAAAUUAAUGAGACUGUUUCCCUGCAAGAAAGGCAUGGAGAGGGAGUAUACAAAGGCGCCACUCAAAGGUGAGGAGAUGGAGCUGGGAGAGACGGAGAGAUGGGUAUGAGGGAAGAUGGGACCGAGGAACCCUUUGAAUAUGCUUUUGAUUAUGUAUAACUUUUACUCUCAAACACAACUAGUAAAUACGUAAAUAAUAGCAGGAUAAGGGAGAACCAAAAAUUAGUUUAAAGGAUACAAAUUGAGACUACAUUAUUACAAAUGAGCAAUUUUCCAUUGCAGCCUAAAGAACUUCAGAAAAAUGAUUAUGUUGGGUGUAAGGCCAGAAGUGACAGGCAAGUUAUGCCAUGCGGACAUAAGUGCCAUGGCUUAUUCGGACGGACGCAUGGGUUUGCAGUCCUGAGGCUGCUUCAUGCUGGGCUGGGUCUGAACACAGUAAAUACAUCAUGGUCAUGAGAGUUGGGUUUCUCACACUAGAGAAAAAAUACAUAAGGAAAAAAUAAGGAUUAUAAUGACGCCUACAUACUGGAUUGCACAAGGGUCACUGUGGACUCAUGCAUAGCCUGGUGUGUAUAGAUGCAUACAGAAGAACACGCAUGUUGGUGUGCCUGUUUCUAACCUCUUGCCUAGGGAAGGACUAGGAGGUGGUGCCUCGGCAGUGAUGAAUAAAUUUGAUCCUCAUAUCUUGGUUUCUUAAAACUAUUCUCUAACAAAAGAAACGAUGGGUUUGGAAUUAAAUGAUUGGUUCCAAGAUUUAAAGGGGGGAAAUGCAAGAUGAACGAAAAGCAAGAUGUACUAAAGUUAUCUUCCACUUCUCAGAAGUAAGUAAGUGCUCAGUGCGAAGAAGACCCAGUGAAGGACACAGGUCACACUGAACAAACAGCCAGUGACAAAAUCCAGACAAACAGGUGUCCCUCCAUUGCUCCUCAGAGUAAACCAAGUCCACCCAAACAGAGUCAGAGAGGGAAGCAAGUCAUUCUUACAGCCCUCGGGGAGGAGUGCCCAAGGAGGAGGCAGGAGAGUCGCCAUUAGACAAAAUUACAGUAGUAGUUGUUAAGCGCGGGAACUACUGCUGGCAUAUAAAGCCGCACAAAACUGUUAGUGGCACUCUGUGCAGGCUGGGAGCAUUCUUCAGCAAGACUUGCAGUUGACUGCAAAGGGAAAAGCUGUCAGUGCCUGCUAGAGAAACUGCACCCGUGGCCUUACCCAAAUGAUCCCAGUUAACAUUAAGACCAUAGUAAGACACACAUCAUUCGUCAUCAGACAACAGCUCUGCGGAAUUCCUGUGAAAUGCAUAACCAGUGUAACUCAGGGAAAAGACAAAGAAAAUACAAAAUGAUGAGCGGCUGUUAAAAAAAAUAUUUUAAAAGUGUGACCAAAGCUUUGCCAAUGUGCCUUCUAGGUGGUCCCAGCAGGGAGUUCUGAAUCUCAGAGGUCUGAUCAUGUGCCGAAAGCCUGGGGAAGGGGGUUGAAAGGAAAGGCAAAGAGCUCUGCGUGCUUCAGGAUUCUGUGUCUGAGAUUGUCUCAGAGAGUGAAGGGUAUUUCUUUUCCACUGGGUGCUCUCCAGAGGUCCAUCUGCAGGUUACAGGAUGAACUUAUUUUCCCACAGCAACCACAUUUGUUGUAUGACAUGGUUCCUGGGUCAGCCCUCUAAAGCGUACUUAACCUUGAACUCUGUGCGUUUACCUGUGUUCAUCCGCCAAUCCUGCUGUGUCCCGGAACAUAAGCAAUAGUCCAACUGGAAGUCGCCGCAACCGGAAGCUGGAGGGGUUGCUUUCCUGGCUCUGAGGCCUUAUUGUAGAAUGUGGACUCAGCAAGCCGCAGAGCUGAUGUUCAAGUCAGGUCUUUCAAUGGGCUGAUUUGUCUACACUCCUGAAGGAGCCCUAUCUGGCUAGAGACUGAAAAGGAGCGGCCCUAUGGUGCCUGGCUCGGCUGUCGCGCCCUCCGCGGUUUGUAACCGGCUUCUUGGACUGCCCGCUUGCCUUUUCUUUAUUGACAGGAGCACCUUUUUCUCUCACUAGAACUGUUAGAAUAUUUGUUAUGAAUAACUCUACCUUGCACCUCUAAAUCAUAUUGGAUAGAUAAAUCAAAAAGUAUAAGAGCGAGUAUUCUAAAAGCUUAAAACACUAUUCUUACUGAACCGUGAUACAAUUACAAAGUAGGACCGUAUUCUUAUUAAUUUUUAUUUGAAAGCGUUUAAAAUAGCCAAGCGUGCCAAGACCAUGUUAUGGCACCAUGCAGCUCUUCCUUACCGGGUGGCUAUAAGUAAUGCAGAUGUGAGCACAGGGUAUUGUUGUAAGGACGGGCCUUCCGAUUGAAUGCCGUUUCUGUUGUGACUGGUGGACCUGGUGUGGGCUAAGUGUCCAGUUCACACAGAGACCAGGACCACAAAUGAACAGUGCCCCUCACCAAGUUCUCACUGCGAGGAGAUCAGACAACUGAUUCCUACCCUGCUCCUGCUGAACCUCAGCAGUGACCCCCGGAGAGCUGUGUGGAUUGGGAACACGGGAGGGUCCAGAUCUCACAAGCAGUUACCAGCCACACAACAGGAAAAACCAGUCUGAAGGUUUCUGGUUUCUCUAAAGUUUGUGGCUGCAGUCGCUGUCCUCUGGUGCGUUCCUGACCAGGAAGGAGUAAAUAGACCAGAGAACUGCAAGAGGAAAAAGCGCUUACAGGAAAUGUGUUAGGCUUGCAUCUAAUCUGCCCUGUUUUAGGAUUUAAAAGGACAGAGCAAACCAGAGAGCCAGUGGGGAUUUUUGAACGUGACUCAGAGAUCAAACAUGACUCUUUUUUUUCGUCCCAGAACACUUCACACUCAAACCCCAGGCUUCGCUGUUGCUGGUGCGUGUCUGACACAGCCCUGUAAUUGGUAAAUUUACAUCAUGUUUGUCGCCAGCAGAUUAGGAAGACACAGGCGUCCAUCCGAUCCAGGAAAUCCCCAGAAUCCCAGUCUUGUUCAGACUAAUUGGUCCAAUCGAUAAAAUGUUAAUUAGAAAAUAAAUCCAAACCUUUAGCUUAGUAACUUUGAUGGAUGUAAACCUCUUUCUGAAAUCCCCAUGCAUUCACAAGGUUAAAAAAGAAAAAAAAAUUCUUUUCCUCUAAAAACCUAUGAGUGUAAAAUGUGAGAAUCACCAGGAAUUUUCAUUGAAAAUAUCAGCCAGUUUAUUAAAAUGUAUUCAGUUGCUGCAGAUCCCUAAAAUCACGGUUCACAUCUGCAGCACACCAUUUAUUUAUGUCAUCUCUGACGGAAGAGAGUGGUGGGACACAGCAUCAAAGCCUCCUUACUGGAAGGAGCUGGAACCUUGGGAUGCUUUCCCGGUGAGCUGGUCCUUUCUUCUUUUCCUGGGGCAGCAUCAUUAGCAUAACAGCAUCAGACAAGGGAGAGUCUGACCCUUGUUCAGACCCCCAGCUUACAAAGCUUUCUUCUCCACAGGUUUGAGACUGCCUGGGUUCUCACAGUGAAAGCUCCCAGGUCUUAAUUCCCUUUUAGUAUUUGGAAAGUCGCUGCUACAUGAUAUGGUUUCACGUGCUAGAAUGUUCGUAUUGGAUUGGUUACUCAAGGCUGCUGCCUUGGGAGGUUGGGAGAUUAAAUGUACUAGGGUGAUUAGUAUGUACAGAUAGAGGAUGACUCUAGACCCCUUGAGCUUUUCCCAGCCAAAUACCUAGUCCUCACCACUCUACCCCACAGCCGACUCUCAUCUGACUUAGGUACCAAUUCCCUUCCCUAUUAAAGUUCUCCUGCUGAGGUAACCAGUGAUGACCACACCUGUUAAUGUGUAGUAUGGCGAGCCUUCACUCUGCGCCAUCAGUAGUCGUCAGUGUCUCUCUGUCUCUCUGACUAAACCGUGAGCAACACUGAAGAAGCAAGCAGAGGGCGGUCUUUCAUUACCACAGCAGUAUCAUUCCCCCGGGGCUUUGGGAAAUGAAUGAAUGACUGGGACAGGGGAAAGGCUGAAAGGAUUUGCACAAGUAAAUGUGAGACUAUCGCCCUAGCUCUAACUCAGAGGACUUUAGGUCGUGCAGCACCAUGACCGUCAGCUGGGGUAAUGUAUAUAGAAACAGUCACAGAUGAUCUGAUUCUCUGCUCAGCCGUUGGCUGGGAUUCCAGGCAUCUGGGGGAAAGGACUAGGAGCCACUGUCAGUGAGAAACGUGUCCUUGUGUGUGCAGCUGUGAGCACACGUGUGCACAUGCAUGUGGUGGGGAGGCUGCGAAGGAAGGCUGCAUUUCUCUUCUGCUGCUGCACACUGCCACUUCCCCCCACGCCACCCCCACUUUCCUGGAAGUUCAUGGAUAUUUAUACGUGAUUGGCUGAUUUUCUGAUGAAAACUUAAUGUAUAGUUCUUUAACGUUUUUUGGGGGAAAAAAAGAUAAAGCAAACAUCUUAGAGCCUGGAAAUAUCCACCAAAAAAGUUCCAUUUCUUUCCAGGAUUCCCGAUAUAUUUAGGUUACUUUUAUAUAAAUGGCAUCAUUUCUAAUUUCUUCAUUUUCAACAAAUGUUAUAUAAUGAGUCAUUAAAUAUUCUUCAGAAAAAAUUCUAGAAACAUCAUUUUAAUGACUGCAUAAUAUUGCAUUUUAUGGAUGUAUCAUAAAUGUCUUAUUAUCCUUUCUUCUCAGAUAUUUAUGUCUUCUCAGGCCUCUUAUUAUAAACAAUGCUGUGGUGAGUCCCGAAUAAAGCGUCCUCUUCCUCAGAGACUUGGGCCACAUCUCUAGCUGUGAAGUUAGUUCCUGUGCACACAUAGUACAUUGCCACGUUUUCAAUACACAUUGCUAAAUUGCACUUCAGGAAAGGUUUAUCAAUUUAUUUGCCAAUUUAUCUGAGGUGUUGUAAAUGGCGUGGAAGACAGGCGUAAAGCAUAGCCACAGCCCCUUUCCGUGUCCCCUUACUGUGGGACAGAAGGGUAUGGUUCUUCUGAAAUCAAGGAGCCAAUCACAAGUGACUAAUCGCAGGCCCUCGAACUCCGCAGGCCAGAUGCCUGGCAGAGACCUAGAUAAGAGGACAGAACAGCAGUCACCUGAGAUAAAGGCCAGGCCGCACUUCACUUCGGCACAGGGAGGACCUGGCAGCCAAGUCUCCCAGCACACGUGCUUACCUCUGGAAUGUGUUUACCUCUGGAAUGUGUAGUCUUCCUAUCAGGGGACACAGGACAUUCUGAGAGUGGUCAGUGGCUGUCUGACCCCACCCCCUGGUGCAUUGCUUCCUUUGUGCCUCCACUCCACCCCACAAUCACUUGAGUAACCAUGCUCUAGGGCACAGAACACCACCCUUGUGUUCCCCAUGACCCGGCCAGCCCAUCUGAUUUGAUUACUGAUCCUAUCGUGAGUAUCUUUGUACAUGAGUCAAGCUUUUAUGUAAGACAGUAAAAUAUCAAAAUGCUUAAAAGCAGGGGCUCUGGAGCCAGGAAGUCUGAGCUCAAUCUCUAACUCUGCCGUUUCGUAACUGGAGGAUCUUGGGCAGGUCACUAGAUCUCUCUGGCUUUGUCUUCUCGUCUGCAGAGUGGAUAGACUUGCCGUGCAGCUAUGCUAGGACUUACGUAGUGAGUACUGCAGAAUGCCUUGUCAUUUUUUCAAAUUACUAAAAAUUAGAUUCAACAGAGGGGUGAGCAUCGGGUGGUGAGAAUACCGUAAAGCACCUGCCGGGGUUCUGGGGAUAAAAAGAAAAUUGCUCCAACCUGACUGGGUUCAUCAGAAUAGUUUAGUUAUGUUGUGGGGAAAUAUGUAUAUAACUUCUGGCUCUUCUAGAAAUAUAUGAAAGCAAUAUGUUAUACAGAAGACAAGGGCCAUUGGUGUCUCUAUCCCUUCAGAUAUGCCCAGGGCAUUAGGAAAGAAAUGGUUUGCUUUACCACCAAUAUUAAAAGCAAUGUAACCCCGCAUUCUGGCCACGGUGAGAAGUGUCCUAAGUUAACACUUAAAACCCGUAGAACUUUCCCGUAAUCUCACAGCCCAGAGACAGUAGUGACAGUGCAUCAAAGGCUCAUUUACAUCCUGAGUGCCACCGCUUAGGUCUACACUUUGUCCUGGGUUCACCCUGGUCAGGUCUCCCUGGUGGGUGAGGCUGUUGGCUGGUUACAGAAAUGUGAAACCGAAUUCUACUGAAUGUUCCAAGCAAACAGCCUUGCUGCACGGACACCAAGAAGCUCUCUGAACAAGCAGGAAGCGCUUGACCAGCAGAAGUGGCCUUGGACCUCAGUGUCUGAAGUCUGGGCUCUCGUGGAUAAUUGGAAUCCAUAAUCUUCCAAGGGGCUGUAAUUGAAUAUUUGGAAGUCUGUAUGAAAAUAAUCAACUAAGUCAGAGUAAACACAGCUAGACCAAACAGUGUACGUCUUCAAAAGGAGCAGCCUAAUUAAAAAGAUGUAUCGUCCUUCCUGGUUGCUGCCGUCCUUGUUGUUUUUAGUAUUAUGCCACUGGGAAAUGCAACUGUUUCUGAGCAAAUAAUUUAAACCCCCAUGCUGGGGCUUAAGCGUCAUCCCCUCCCCUCUCUCUUAGUGCUCAUUCAGGGAUAAAGCCGUGCGAAUUCUUCAGACACCAAUCAGAUUUAUCAUCCUGUGCCUUUUGAUGACAUACAUCUGUUUAUCUGAGAAGCCAUUAAAGACUUAUUGAGUUACAGAGUUUGGAGAAAAUUGGCUUAUCAUCUAUGGUUAAAUUCAAUUCCUGCAUCUGCCGUCUUUUCGGCAUAUGUGGUGUAUUCUGAAAUUACCCUGACUUGCAGACCCGCCGCACAAGAAUCACCCGCUUCCCAGCCUUUUCAUGCCAGCUCCUGGAGAAUUUCUAAUGCAUGAGCAAUUUGUAGUCCCGGAAAAUGUUGACGGAGAGAUGUCAGUGCUUUCUCUUGUUAAAAGUUCAGAACCUAAUGGGGACCGUGCCAGCUCGCAGGGCACAUUCGGAAAUGGGCUCUGCUCAGUCCGGAGCCUGUUGGUAUUUAGACAAGCUCACUCAAAGAAAAAUCCAGCUCUGGGUCACAAAAGGCAGAACCGUGUUAAUCGUAAGAUAAAGAUACAUUAAUAUCAACUCAAGAUUCAAACAGACAAAGUGAUAGCUCAUCACAAACCGAGUUAAAUGAGCACCAGCAGGUGAGCUGAGAAGACAGAGCAGCCAGUCUUACUGGGGAGACUAGCCAGGACCUUAGGCUUAUCUCAUGGGUGGAGCAGCCUGAGAGAUGCUAAAAGCCCUGUUUCCGGAGCUGGCUGCGGAGGCAAUGCCUGUGUGGCAAGAACUAAUUGAAAAAAAGUGAGUAUUUGCAGUUUCCUGUAGAUAUUGUUACACCCUGACUGCAGGAACCCCAGAGAAAGCAACAGUAAACCAGCAGCUUCCUCACUUCGCCAGUUUUCCUAGCAUUUGUCAAAUAAAUAGUGACAAACCCAGAGUAAAACAUUUCCUUGGUUUGCAUAUGUAAAUCAGGCUGGAAUUCUGGGAAGCCUAGACUUGGUAGGAAUUUUCUGGUUACAACCUAGCUGCUCCUCCUGAAGUCUAGCCGUGAACACCGUUUACCGGCCAUUUAUAGAACAUCCUUCUGCUUGCAUUUAACUGGCUUCCAUUGCUUUCCCCUUUGGGAGAUAAGUGCCCUGAGAUAGGAGACAAUACCCUGUAACAGCAAGCAUCAUCAACUGAAGCCUGGGUGCCUGAUACGGCUGGCUUCAGAGUGAUAUUCCGUCCUCUUGCUUGGCUGUAACCUUCACACAGCCUUGGCGUGCACUGUCAGCAAUGCACUGUUGUGUGAAUCAUGGGCAAUGCCACAAGCAGAGAGAAAGCCACUGCCAAGGCGAGAAUGACCAGGGUCCAAGACAUAGACCCCAAAGCACCAGAGGGCAGGAGAGUCUCCUGGGUGUGUUUCCCAUCCCACUGGAUUCCUCUGCAAGAUAAAUGGGAGGGAGUAGGGUUGAAAACCAGCCAAGCCUUCCUUCCAGGUCAGGAGCCACACGCUCAGUGAUGUGAGAACUAAGCUCUUUCCUCCUGUGCACCCACCCCCGCCCAUCAACCACACCCUCUCGGGCUCUCAGCCCUGAGCCGCUGUGAAGAAACAAGUCAUUCAUUUCAUCCAGGCGUCAUGGCAACACGUAGGCAAACACUUUCUUAGACUUUUGCCCUCGGAUAGCUUCGGACAUUUUCUUGCUCAGUAGUUUGGUCUGUCAUCUGCCCUGCUAAGCAUUCUGAGUUUUUGUUAUCAGUGGCCCUUCCUUCUCCUUGGUUGCUACCGGCCCUGAAGAAUAAGGGAAGCAAAAGGGAGGUCGGGGGGAUCUGCUUCAGCGAGACAGCUGCACCUUAGCUGGGGUAAACAAGGGCUGUAUAUAUAGAUAGUGGGGAGCAGGUGGGGAUUCCCAGGGUGGAUGUACAGUACUGGCUAGCAUGGGAAUGGUUAUCCGGAGAGAGGAAGGUGAACCUGUACUCUGGCCAUAGGCUGACUUUCUUCAGAUUUGGGGGUGGGGGUAUUACAGAAGGGAAGGGUUGAUUGGUCAUGACACACUACCUAAUUAUUAGACUUGGUAAGGGUUUAGCAGAACUUAUGUGCUGAAUCAUGCAGCACCUGCAGGAAACUCUGUGCAGGGUCCUCCUCUAGAUAAGAUCAGGCAUCUGUGCUCAGAGACACUCUCCAAGCAAGGUCAGGCAGAGAAGAUGAAGCCCCUCUAAGAAAAGGAGUCCUCCAUUUUGCGCAGAGCUCAGAGAGCUGAUCCUGACAUGGUGGACCAGCCUUAAUAGCAGAAUCUUUCAACACUUUAUCAAAACGUCAGAGGGGUGGGUACACACAGAAAUAUGUGAACAUUUUGUUUAAUGAUUGUGUUAAUUUUAGUUUUAUGUAAGAAAAACAUUAGAGGAUUUUCAAUAAUUUCAUGAUCAAUUAAGGGUAUUAAGUCAGAUGCAAACUGGCUUCCAGGCUGGCUAAUAAUUCACUUCUGUGGACCACAGAGUGUUACCAGAGCAACAGUGUGCGGGGAUAACAUAUGACAUAGCAUUGCCUCAGGGCUGACAUGGCACAGCUCUUCCGUCCUCCAUAGAUGUCCCCUGUGCCAAUUCAGUGCCCCUUACAGAGGUAGAUGCCAAAGCUCUCUCCCAAGGUGACUUCAAAGGAUCUGUUGAUCUACUGUGAUUUAUGAUGUUGAUGACACCCUCUUGACCCUACAUCAUGGCUUCCUUAGAAGGCAGAGUCUAGGUGUAGAGGAACCUUGCUUCUGUGGCCUAAGCACUUCCAAGCUUACAGGAACCCCAUGACUGCCCUGUACCAUUGUAAAUCUAUGCUCCCAUAUCUUUCAACAUCGGGAGAGCCUGUCUCAUGCAAGGAGACUCUUUCCCUAGUGUCCUUGAACCUUUGUCUUUCUUGGGUUGCCAUUUGGUACUGACUAGGGAAGUUGAGAAUAUAUUGUUAAUCCUUAGAUACAUCUUGAGAGAGCAUUUCCCAAAUAUCAGGCACUGUUGAAGAAGGAAAUCAGCCAUCAAAACUCUUCAGGAGCACAGAGGAAUUGCUGCUAUUAAGGAAAGUGCAGUUCUCCAUGUUGACAAUAAGUGAAUCUCCUGUCUCUGAUACGAGAGGAAGAGAAGAACGUGGGCUUUUUUUUUUUUUUUUUGACUGAUAUGCCAGACCUGUCCAGCAUCCGAGCAGAGCAUCCUGAAUGAGAGAAGAUACUGAGAUAUUGAGAAGGCCUUCACUACCAGGGGUUUAAUGGAAUCCAAUGCAAACCACGAUAUUAUGGAUUUUGAGCUGAGACGUGAGAUAAAAUUUAGUUUUAAGAAAAUAAGAUUUGCAUUAUAUCAUGAACAGGGCUAUCAGUGGAAGAAAAGAAUCAGUAGAGAUCAGCUAUGAACACUGCAGAGCAAUCUAAGAGAAUAAUGUUCUAGACACAAAGAGCAUCCAGGGGGUUUGCAAAAAGGGUUAGUAAGACUGUGACAGAGCCAAAUAAAGGUGACUAGUAAAUUCCUGUAUCCCCAUGUCUGUGUACCACAGCAUCAGUGCCAGUGGAGGCCAGAAAAGGAAAUCAGACCCCGUGGAACUGGAGUUACACAAGUCAUUAUAUGUGUGGUUGCUGGGAAUCUAACCCAGGUCCUUUGGAAGAGCAUCCAGUUCUCUUAACAACUAAGCCAUCUCUCUAGCCUCUAAUAGCAAUGUUCUUAGUACAACUUGACUUGAGAACUCUUCUAUAGUUGAAUUUUUUGGAUGUUGUAUUAGUCAGGGUUUCUAUACCUGCACAAACAUUGUGACAAAGAAGCAAGUUGGGGAGGAAAGGGUUUAUUCAGCUUACACUUCCACAUUGCUGUUCAUCACCAAAGGAAGUCAGGACUGGAACUCAAGCAGGUCAGGAAGCAGGAGCCAUGGAAGGAUGUUUCUUACUGGCUUGCUUUCCCUGGCUUGCUCAGCUUGCUUUCUUCUAGAACCCAAGACCACCAGCCCAGGUACGGCACCAAACCCAAUGGGCUGGGUCCUCCCACCUUGACCACUUGUUGAGAAAAUGCCUUACAGCUGGGUCUCAAGAAGGCAUUUCUACAACUGAGGCUCCCUUUCUGUGAUAACUCCAGCCUGUGUUGAGUUGACACACAAAACUAGCCAGUACAGAUGAAGGUUUAUAUGUAGCCUUGGCUGGCUUGGAACUCACUACGUAGUCCAAACUGACUUGAAAUUCACUAUGUAGUCCAGGCUGGCUUUGAAGUCACAGAGAUCCACCUGUCUAGGCCACCAUACUGCUAGGAAUAAAGGCAUAUGCCACCAUGUCCAGCCCCAGUUGAAAAAAAAAAUGAACAAUCUGCUGGAAUUACCCUGAAGAUCAGCACUUGGCAUUAACUUAUUCUGGGAGAUGAGAGGAGAGAGGAUUAAGUUCAGGGUCACGUUUUCCAAAAGAAAUCCCAAACCAAGAUAUAAGUCCUGAAGAAGGAGGCAGUAUACAGCAACGCUAGGAGUUGGUGACCUAAGCAGAGCUCAUUCAUGUUCCCAAUGUGAGCAUUGCCUAGACGUGUCAAGCACGUGUGCCGUACUAAAGGUUUGCUUAGAACAUUAUCUUCAUUUAUACAUAGCACCAGCCAUGUGCUGCUGACCAGUGUACAAAGCUUGCCUGGACCUGCCCUUUUGGAGGAUAGGGCCCUGUGCAGAAGAUUUGAAGUCCAAACAGAAAUUAACCAGGCCAAGACUAAUUUGAAGAUAUUGUCUAGAGAGUGAGGCAGAUUUAUAGAGACCCUGGGGUUGGUUGAUGGCAUUCCAGAGACAUGGUAGGACCUGAACCUCAAGUUUCUUGUGUUCCUUGGCAAAACUGAUUCCCUGAGUCAGCAGCCUGGACAAAGCCAGCCUCUUAAGACUUGAGGGCUUGGGUAGGAAAAGAUCCAGUGAGAGAGACCAUUUAAAAGGGCCAGCACUGGGCAUCUUGCAGUUGGGAGUAAGAAUUUGGCAUACAUUUUCGGAAAAGGUUGAGAUGGAAAGAGAUUCAAGUAUCAAGUAUUCUCUGCACACAGGGCAUGUAAGGUCAGCUAAGUGGGAAACGCCAGAAGGUCAGAGCUUCGAGUCUUCAGUGGGAGGAGCACAAAUCCCUUGCUCCCUGGGCAUUCUACCCUGGGGAAAUACAGCUUUUCUCAGGUUCAGUGCUUACCUUGCAUAAUAGGAAUAUGACCAUCUACCCCUUGGGAAAGAACCAGAGGACGUGAUGUUUAUGGAGUGUUUAAUUCUGCACCUGGCAAGAAGUGUGUGCUCAUCCCUUGAGUGCCAUAUUCUGUUUUGUCCAUCUUUGUCUGGGCAGUAGAUACCAGGAUACCCACAUUCCCAAUGAAUACAGGACUUCCACAACUACCACUUCCUGUGCUGUUCAGAAGCUCGCGCCUCUGCCGAUGUUUGCUCGGUUAGUAAUUGGUUUUUGCGGUUACAGUUCUCUGAAGUGAAACCUCCAUGUCGGGGAUAAGGAGACUGCGCUGUAGACAGAGAAAUGUGGCAAACGAAUGCAUACAGCAGAGUCAGAGAUCUGACAGUGAUGUGCACAAUUAAUUAAUUGCUAAGAUAAUGCACACUUGGAAUAAUUUUAAAGUGUUUUCGUAAUUUGCUUCUUUAAGUGGCAGUAAAUUAAAUUCUAGCCUUUGCUCUCUGAGUGUUCUUUUAGCCAUAAGUCUACUGUGUUUUAAUUAGAAAACUCUCUGACAGUUCCAGGAAAGGAAACAUUUUUUCUCUGUUUAAAACAUUUCUACCACUUCAGCUAAACAAUUUAUCUAGAAUGAUUUUUUUCUUUAAAAGGAAUAGUAGACAAUUAGAAAGAGAGUACAGUAAAUUUUCUGCCUUGUGAAUCUGAGCCAAGAGUCACACAACUUCCGUGCUCUAUAAGCAAUUGCAAACUGAAAUGAGUAACUGGUGUAUCAUAAUAGACUCUUCUCUGAGAAGCCAUCACCGUAGAAUGUAUUUCCGGGCUCUUAGAAGCCGGAGAACAAAAUUGAAGGGAGAGGAUCUGUGUAGCUAAGAGUCAGGUUACACUGGGGACAUGACUCUCAGUAGAACCGAAGCCACAUUGUUGCUUUAACUAGCAAUGGAGACAGCACUGUGUUACAAUGUAUCCUAUCCCCAUCCCCUGAAAAAUCUGUAGCCAAUACACAUGGCUGGAGAUGAGCCAGCCUGUUAACCUCCCUGAGUCUAAAGAGAUGACUGUAGAAAUCACAGGGAGAAGUGUAUAGAUCUUCUUAGACCAAAGGCAUUUAAGAGAUGGUGAAACUUCACCUUUAGAGAAUGAGAGUGAGUGGACUCGAUUCAGAUACCCCAGCAUGUGCUUAUGGAUGGAUGUAUAUAGUCAUGAGCCCAGAAAAGGAGAGUGAUAAUGAGCUAGCAAAAGUCAGCAGCUAUAUGUCAGCAGAGGGUUACUAUCUCACAUAUGUAAAGAGCUGAACAAAUCAAACAAGCAAAAAGCAAAGCUGAUGAUCGAUAAACGUAAUGAGCCGAAGAGACGGACAGCUCUCAAAAGAAGAAACUUGCUGCCCAAUAAAUACUUCUUAAAGUAUUCAGCAUUCUUAGCCACCAUGGAAAUGCAAAUUAUAACUACUUUGAGAUUCUAUCUCAAGAAAAAAACUGGUGAGGACGUUGGGGGCGAGGAACUUUUAGCCACUGCUGCUAGGAGUGUAAACUAGCACAGCCAUGUGAAAUGCACACAGAGGCUUCUUCAAGAAGUAAACUAAAACUAUGUGGCCCAGCCACACCACCCCAGGCACAGCACACACCAGAAGGCUCUGUCUUAGCACAAAGAGGCCUGCGCACGUGUUCCUGCUGCCCUGUUCAAGUAACAAAGGAAUGGGUGGAAUCAGCCUAGAUAGUCAUCAACAGAUGAAUGGAUGGUGAGCAUGUGGUGUACACACACACACACACACACAUACACACAGAGAGAGAGAAAGAGAGAGGAAUUUUAUUCAUUUAUAAAGAAAAAUAAAAUCAUAGAAUCAUCAAGAAAAUGGUAAUAAUUAUUAUAUUAAAUGAAGUGACCUAGACUCAGACAGUGCCACGUGUUCUCUCUUGCUUACGGAUCUCAGCUUUAAUUUUGUAUAUGUGGGUGUGAGUAUGGGUGUAAGCCAUGAAAUACAAAGGAACCCCAAGAUGGGGAGGGGCUUUAGGAAGGAGGGGGACCCUGGAGCAUGACAGUGGGGGAUGUUGAGGGCAUGGAGGCGAGUGGGACAUGGGAGGACGGAUUAGGAGAGGACAGACAAGGACAAAUAAUGAAAAUACCAAAAACCCCAUUCCUUUGCCUCCUAAUUUUGAAAAUAAACCAAAUGGUCUGUAGUAAAAGGAGUUGACAGAGUGUGUUGAAGUCCACAUACCCUCCUGAUAAUAACUGGAUGAGAUCAUUUGAGCUGCGGGAACAAAAGUACUGUUUGGCAAUAUUUAAAUCCUAUUUAAUAUAAGCAGUAACCAAAUUUUACACAGUUAACUUGAAGUACUUCAGCCAAGUGUGCAUCUACACAAGUGCUAUGUUGGCUUAACUUCUCUCUGGAGACUUGGAGAUGUGUCUCCCUCGGCAGGUAGGAAGCAUGUCUAUUCAUCCCUGUACUGAAAACGUCUUACUGAUGUGAGUGUACUCAAAGCACUGUGCUAGGUACCAGGCCUACCUCAGGAUGCUUGCCAUCUAGAGUGGGGGACAGGCGGGGGUGAGAUAGUUAGUGCAGAGGAGCCUUCCCUCCUACGUGGACCAGCUGCGACGGAAGUGCCACGGGGCCACACCUCCGUCAGGUGCUACAGAUCUAGUUUGAAGACCAUUUAUGUGUAAUUCUGGUGUGCAGAAGAAAUGGAAGACCCUUGCUCUGCAAGAAAAUGCCAAAUCAAUUUCAGGUCUUGCUUCAUUCCGGCCCAUAACAUCUCUCUGUCUCUCUCUGUCUCUCUGUUUCUCUCUGUCUCUCUCUGUCUCUCUGUCUCUGUCUCUCUGUCUCUCUCUGUCUCUCUCUCUCUCUCAUCUUAAUCUUGAGAACAGCUUUAUUAGUCUUUAAAAGAAAACCUGCCAGGGCAGGCAAGCUGUAAAUCUCAGCUGCACAUGGAGAACUGGAAGAGGAGGAGCCACGUUACUUUCAAAGGAUCAUGUGGGAGAGAGGACAGACUGCUCCCGAGGACAGUGAGAACGCCCAGAGUAAUGGAGGGUGCAUACUUGGGCUCUGGCUAGCAUCAGAAAGAGACAAGAAGGGAGAAAAUGGUAUUCUGAGUCAGGACUCAGAAAGUGGCAGCCGUAACCAAACUCCAGGACAGCGCAGUGGGACUGCACACACUCGGUGGAUGGGGGCAGGCAGAAUUCUGAUAAGGAAAAGUGCAUCCUCUCAUUUGAAGGGUCUCUCAUCCCUCCUGUCUUUAGCACGGCUUAGGUGAAUUCCUCCCCACUGAUGGGAAGCACACCUUAUAAUUUUAAGAUAGGGUCUCUUGCUGAAGACCAAGCAAGACUGGCUGGCCAGGGAGCUCCCAAAAUCCCCCAGCCCCAAAGCACAAGGAUGAGCCACCAUGCCCACCCUCAUACAGUUUUGGGAUCCAAAACCCAGAUUUUCACAUUAUACAACAAUGACUUCACCAACUGAGUCACCUCCCUGCCCCACAGGACACUUCCUGCACCAGCAUCACACCCGAACCUGGUGGGGAAUUUCAUCUCCCAACCCCUCAAGCAAACUGUGGUUCGGGAAUGGCAAAGAGAGCAAUUUCACCCGGACACUGAGCAGUGCUUACUCAUGAACUCUGAGAAUUCGCAGCAGCCGAGAAGAAGCUGUGAUGAUGGGAGGGGGAUGUGAUAGAACAUUCUGGAAGUGAAGCUGGGAGUCAGGCGGGGCAGUAGGGGCCAGGGACACUUGCAGAAGCUUGAAAUCACAACCCCUCCAGAUGUUGAAAGUUAACACAGAGACGACAGCCAGUGAAUGGGGACGUGAGGUAACAGUAGCCACAGGCAGGACCAACUGCUUCCUAGGAGACAGUCACCUCUCCCAAGUCUUUGAGUGCAGUGCUCACCUAGGCUUUCAGGGACGUCAGCCUGAGAUAGAUCUGUAUAUGGAAAGCUUUUGCGAGGACCCAGGGACCUGUGACAGUAUUAGCCCAAGCCUAGCCAAGGAAAGCAUAUCCUCAGGAGAAAGUCAAGGGAAUCCCAGCUGUGGUCAUGGAGACCCGUGACAGAGAAGAGGCCCUCUCAGGGUCCAGGGGAACAUAGCCGGUUGUAAAAACCCGACCAGCUGCCCAUCCAUCAUUUCUUUGUUGGAUUCUCCUCUUCUUAGCAUGUGAGGGAGGGCAUGCACAUCAUGCAUGCGUGUGGAGGUCAAAGGGCAACUUUAGGGGAUGGGUUCUCUUUGAGCACCUGUGUGUGGGUUCCAGGAAUGCCGCUCAGAUCUCCAGGCUUGCAUAGCAAGUGCCUUCACCCUCUGUGGUGUCUCAUCGGCCGCCAUAUUGGAUGUUGUCCCAAGCAUUGUAUCAGCGUAGUUAAACCUUAUCUCUCACGCAUUCCCAGCCCAGCUUUCUGGCCUCCCAAAUGCCCAGUUGGCUGCCUUCCUGGACCCAAGGGGAGGCCAAGGUCAUCCGAUUCACACAUCUCCCUAGAAAUGGUAUCAGAGAUCCCAAAAGGAGGUAGGUAGCUCGUCUUGAGUCACAUGCUAGCUUUGACAGGACCUGCUUUGGAAUGGGAAACUGAGGCAUAAAGAUGGGAAACAAGUUGUCACAAAGGGCAUGAUGGUGCCAGAGCUCCUUGGAAGAGGAAGUGGAUCACAGUAUCUCAGGGUGAGGGUUACUCUCUCAUGGAAACUGAAAGCAGAGGCUCUGGGUGUAUAGCUGUGAGGCCCCUGACCAAGGUAUUUCCUGAGUCUCUGGACCCCUUGAGAGGUCCCCCCAGAGGUGACGGCUCACAUGCUUGUGGGGCUGCCAUUGGCCUCGGUUCUCCUCUUGUCUCUUCAGGGCUGCUGGCAUCCACUCAAGACCUUCCUCACUUUGGGGCUCAAGGCAAUGUAUGCUUGCCCGCAGUCCCUGAGCCUGCCUCCUCCAUCACCAUACUACCCCGCCCACAUUCAUACUGAGCCUUCCGUCACCAAGGCCACCAGUAGCUCCCAUUGCCUUUGAACAAAUGUAGUACUCUUCCUCAGCUCAACAGUCACCCCUGUCCGGAAUUCCUGCUCAGUGACUGGCUCUUCAGAACUUUUGCAGCACCCUGCUGGUAGCCCCUUGAGAGACAGUAACACAAUGGUUGCUCCUUCCUGUGAGCGCCAUAACUUCAUUGUAUAGCUUCCUCCCCCAUACCUUUAUUUCCUGACCUCUCUCUGACUUACCUGACCAACAUUUUGACUAGCCCUGAACCUUUAAGUUCAGCCAAGCUCUAGUGUUGAGGAACCCACUUCUGAUUUCUCAAAGACCGUCCCUGUGCUUCACAAAGUAAGAGGGCUGUCCUGGAUGAAGCCCUACUGCAGACUGGCCACCUCAGAUCUCUCUGCUGUGUCCAUCUUAUAAAUGCAGCCAGGGGUUUGAAGGCUCUGUGCUGUCUCAGCCCUGGAGCUAUCCGUGUGACCAGUCUGAAGGUCUUCCUUCCACAUACAUCUCACUGUCCUAUCAUUUAUUGUUUGUCUCUAGAUGUAUGUCUGUCCUGACCUCCAUGUUUGCCUCCGCUAGUUCACUCUCUAGAGUAUCUCUCAAGUGCACAGCCACCCAUUUUGUCACCGAUGGAUUCUGAGGGCUCAUUCCUGACAAGACAAAGUUCGUUCUUCUUAACAGGUUGUAUUAUUUUCCCAGGCUCCCACCCUAAUACUUCAAUGACACCAAAUAUACCAAAUAUACCAGUACAAACAUACCAAGGUCUUAGCACAGUUGGUAACCAGCAAGUGUCCCGCGAUCAGUACUUAGCAUUAAUGAGCAUGUGGAUCCCAGCAGAGCUGGGCAUGUGGUGCACACGGAGAGACAGGCCUAACAGAAAGCUAUCCUUUUGUGCUCCCUGCCUCCUAGCAGGCACUGGUUAGUCUUGAUCAUUUCAAAUGAGCCUUGUUACUUUAGCUCUGUCUGAACUCUCUGGGUCCAACUGUACACUGUCCAUGUCCUCGCCCAUAAAGCUCAUACAGAAACCACACUGCUGCAAUGGAGUAUCUAGGACAUAAGCCUACAGCUCUCCUUAAUCACACAUUCCCACUGUAUGGAACAACAGAUCUCGGUUAGGCUUUGUGCAGAUGGAAGGAGGCACCUGUAGGCCCAGGACAUUCUUCAAACUCAUCUGAGAAGCAUGCCCAGGAAAGAAUCUCUUCAUACUGUGGAGGGAGCUCACACUGACUGGGAACUCCAAGAGAGCAUCUCAGACACACCUGUACUAGUGAUGAUGAUGAUGAUGAUGAUGAUCUCAGACACACCUGUACUAGUGAUGAUGAUGAUGAUGAUGAUGAUGAUGAUGAUCUCAGACACACCUGUACUAGUGAUGAUGAUGAUGAUGAUGAUCUCAGACACACCUGUACUAGUGAUGAUGAUGAUGAUGAUGAUGAUGAUCUCAGACACACCUGUACUAGUGAUGAUGAUGAUGAUGAUGAUGAUCUCAGACACACCUGUAUUAGUGAUGAUGAUGAUGAUGAUGACGACGACGACGACGACGAUGAUAAAAAUAUCUUCUCCUUUUUAAGCACGACCACUUUCAGAAGUUAGCAGGGAAAUUCCACCUUUAGUCACCUCCCCCACACAACGAGGACUAUACAGUCACCAAAGGGUUUAUACGAGUGUUUACGACUAUAUAACAUAUAAGAGCUAAUAGCUAAAAGUUUGAAAUAACCCUAAACAGUCAUUAAAAAUAUAAUUGGUAACAAUCGUAUAUCCCUUGUACACAAUAAUUGGCUAAAUAAAUUGUUGUUAUAAAUUGAACAUCCAUGAAGACAGACAAAGUAAGCCAGCCGCUGGAGGAGCACGGUAAGGUUGCACGAGGAAUGUUUCUAAAGGUUGAUUUUGUGUGUGUGUGUGUGUGUGUGUGUGUGUGUGAGAGAGAGAGAGAGAGAGACAGAGAGACAGAGACAGAGACAGAGAGAGAGAGACAGAGUAUAUAAGUGUGCACCAUGUGCAUGAAGGUGGCCGUAGAGGACAGAAAAGGGCAUCAGAUCCCUGAAGAGCUAGAGAGAUGGGGGUUGAGAGCCUCCCGUUGUGGCUGCUAGAACCUGAACCUGGGUCCCCCGUAGGAGCAGCAAGCGCUCUCAACCACUGAAGGUCUCUCCAGCCCAUGACUAUAAGGAGAAAACGUAUGAAUGGUGCUAAUGGUCUGCUUAUUAACUGAACUUGAGGAGUAGAGAUGUAGGGCAUCCUGGUGCUGCAGGAAGAACUCUGACUUCAGAGAAUGGUGUUGCUAAGGUUUGGACCUUCUGCCUGGAUGAGGGCCUCCAACCUGUUCCACACACAGUGGGUCUGCUCAAGUCCUGGAGGGAGGGGACACUGCCAGUGAGCAUGGAAAAACGACAUCUGAGACGGCCUGGUAUUGACUCCACUGAGUAGAAGGAGCCAAGUCGUUGAUUCUGUAAACAAAAUUCCAGGGAAGCUCUGCGUAUAGACACAUAGACUCUGGAACAGCAACAACAUAGACUGCUGACAGCAAUACUAGAUGUAAAGCAAAGAAGAAACUCACUGUCACCGAGAGUCAGAGGACGCUCCAAUGGGACCUUACCUGCACCGGGCUGUCUCAACCUUUGUCAUUCCAGGAG